GCUACAUGGUGGCAGCUAUCCGCGUGAAGAUGAAGGUUGCAAGCGUGUAUCGGAAUGACUGUGCUGAAGUGGUGGUUAGACGGGUUGGUAAGUCUGUCGUGAAGUCCCCGGGCUCAAACUGGGAAUGGCGAUGGGUACUGGCGGGCUAGAGUGGGUCAGAGGAUGGUGGAAUUCACGGUGUAGCGGUGAAAUGCGUAGAGAGCGGGAGGAACAUCAGUGGCGAAGGCGGCCAUCUGGGACAACACUGACGCUGAAGCACGAAAGCGUGGGGAGCAAACAGGAUUAGAUACCCGAGUAGUC
rnacentral:rRNA from 1 species